GACGAACGCUGGCGGCGUGCCUAAUACAUGCAAGUAGAACGCAGUUGCGAACGGGUGAGUAACGCGUAGGUAACUGCCUCAUAGCGGGGGAUAACUAUUGGAAACGAUAGCUAAUACCGCAUACUGUGAGAUGGACCUGCGUUGUAUUAGCUAGUUGGUGAGGUAAAGGCUAACCAAGGCGACGAUACAUAGCCGACCCGCGAGGGUGAUCGGCCACACUGGGACCUAGUCACGGCCCAGACUCCCACGGGAGGCAGCAGUAGGGAAUCUUCGGCAAAGGGCCGAAGGUUGAACGGGCCAAGCCGCGGGAGGUAAGAAGGUUUUUCGGUCCGUAAGGUCCGGUGGUUGAGAAGCGGUAACUAACCAGAAAGGGACGGCUAACUACGUGCCAGCAGCCGCGGUAAUAC
rnacentral:rRNA from 1 species